ensembl:rRNA 5S_rRNA 5S ribosomal RNA
UUCUACGACCAUACCACCCUGAACACACCUGAUCUCGGAAGCUAAACAGGGCUGGGUCUCGUUAGUACUUGGAUGGGAGACCAUUUUAUCGGUAAGGGAAGUGAGGCAUGGGAA